rnacentral:tRNA from 1 species
GGUAGUAUGGCUGAUUUAAGCGGUAGUCUGUAAAAUUGCAUAUAGGGUUUAACCCUUACUACCA